UACGUAGGGGGCAAGCGUUGUCCGGAUUUAUUGGGCGUAAAGAGCGUGUAGGCGGCCAAACAGGUCAGCUGUGAAAACUCGAGGCUCAACCUCGAGACGUCGGUUGAAACCGUUUGGCUAGAGUCCGGAAGAGGAGAGUGGAAUUCCCGGUGUAGCGGUGAAAUGCGCAGAUAUCGGGAAGAACACCCGUGGCGAAGGCGGCUCUCUGGGACGGUACUGACGCUGAGAUGCGAAAGCGUGGGGAGCGAACAGG
rnacentral:rRNA from 1 species